UACGGAGGGCGCGAGCGUUAAUCGGAAUUACUGGGCGUAAAGCGCGCGUAGGCUGUUGUGUAAGUUGGGGGUGAAAUCCCACGGCUCAACCGUGGAACAGCCCUUGAUACUGCGCGACUUGAAUCCGGGAGAGGGUGGCGGAAUUCCAGGUGUAGGAGUGAAAUCCGUAGAUAUACGGAGGAACACCAGUGGCGAAGGCGGCCUGCUGGACAUUAACUGACGCUGAGGCGCGAAAGCGUGGGGAGCAAACAGG
rnacentral:rRNA from 1 species